rnacentral:lncRNA from 1 species
UUUUUUUUUCUAUAGAAGCAGACAACUAUGGUGGCGUGCUCGCUUCAGGUGACUCUUCAGCUACUGGCGUUGUUUCUGGCUCAACUUUCGGUGACGGUGCAUUCGGUAAAGGCCAUGGUGAAAAGAGGUGCGGUAUCGUCCAACAGCUUGUUACAGAAUUUUGGAAUGUUUGUUAAAGCAAAAAUCAAGUGAAAAGAUUUUCCAUACCUACACCAUUUUUGUAUUAGUCUGUUAAUAAUAAUGCUGAAAAUGUUACGAAAUAAAUAAGUAAAUAAUUAUAAUUUUAAUAUGA